rnacentral:rRNA from 1 species
UGAGGAAUAUUGGUCAAUGGACGGAAGUCUGAACCAGCCAUGCCGCGUGAAGGAUGAAGGCGUUCUACGUUGUAAACUUCUUUUAUCUGGGAAGAAACCACAGAUUUCUAUUUGUGUUGACGGUACCAGAGGAAUAAGCACCGGCUAACUCCGUGCCAGCAGCCGCGGUAAUACGGAGGGUGCGAGCGUUAUCCGGAUUUACUGGGUUUAAAGGGUGCGUAGGCGGGCUAUUAAGUCAGAGGUGAAAUCUCCGGGCUCAACCUGGAAACUUCCUUUGAUACUAUUAGCCUUGAAUUAAGUUGAGGUUGGCGGAAUAUAACAUGUAGCGGUGAAAUGCUUAGAUAUGUUAUGGAACACCGAUUGCGAAGGCAGCUGGCUAAACAUAUAUUGACGCUGAUGCACGAAAGCGUGGGUAG